AUUGAACGCUGGCGGCAGGCCUAACACAUGCAAGUCGAGCGAGCGGCGGACGGGUGAGUAAUGUCUGGGGAUCUGCCCGAUGGAGGGGGAUAACUACUGGAAACGGUGGCUAAUACCGCAUACUAUCGGCUGAGCCCAUAUGGGAUUAGCUAGUAGGUGGGGUAACGGCUCACCUAGGCGACGAUCACUAGCUGGUCUGAGAGGAUGACCAGCCACACUGGGACUGAGACACGGCCCAGACUCCGACGGGAGGCAGCAGGGGGGAAUAUUGAACAAUGGGCGCAAGCCUGAUGCAGCCAUGCCGCGUGUAUGAAGAAGGCCUUAGGGUUGUAAAGUACUUGCAGCGGGGAGGCGUUACCCGCAGAAGAAGCACCGGCUAACUCCGUGCCAGCAGCCGCGGUAAUAC
rnacentral:rRNA from 1 species